rnacentral:rRNA from 1 species
GAAACCCAGUGUGAUUCGUCACACUAUCAUUAACUGAAUCCAUAGGUUAAUGAGGCGAACCGGGGGAACUGAAACAUCUAAGUACCCCGAGGAAAAGAAAUCAACCGAGAUUCCCCCAGUAGCGGCGAGCGAACGGGGAGGAGCCCAGAGCCUGAAUCAGCAUGUGUGUUAGUGGAAGCGUCUGGAAAGGCGCGCGAUACAGGGUGACAGCCCCGUACACAAAAGCGCAUGUGCUGUGAGCUCGAUGAGUAGGGCGGGACACGUGGUAUCCUGUCUGAAUAUGGGGGGACCAUCCUCCAAGGCUAAAUACUCCUGACUGACCGAUAGUGAACCAGUACCGUGAGGGAAAGGCGAAAAGAACCCCGGCGAGGGGAGUGAAAAAGAACCUGAAACCGUGUACGUACAAGCAGUGGGAGCACCCUUCGGGGUGUGACUGCGUACCUUUUGUAUAAUGGGUCAGCGACUUAUAUUCUGUAGCAAGGUUAACCGUAUAGGGGAGCCGGAGGGAAACCGAGUCUUAACCGGGCGUUAAGUUGCAGGGUAUAGACCCGAAACCCGGUGAUCUAGCCAUGGGCAGGUUGAAGGUUGGGUAACACUAACUGGAGGACCGAACCGACUAAUGUUGAAAAAUUAGCGGAUGACCUGUGGCUGGGGGUGAAAGGCCAAUCAAACCGGGAGAUAGCUGGUUCUCCCCGAAAGCUAUUUAGGUAGCGCCUCGUGAAUUCAUCUCCGGGGGUAGAGCACUGUUUCGGCUAGGGGGCCAUCCCGGCUUACCAACCCGAUGCAAACUGCGAAUACCGGAGAAUGUUAUCACGGGAGACACACGGCGGGUGCUAACGUCCGUCGUGAAGAGGGAAACAACCCAGACCGCCAGCUAAGGUCCCAAAGUCAUGGUUAAGUGGGAAACGAUGUGGGAAGGCCCAGACAGCCAGGAUGUUGGCUUAGAAGCAGCCAUCAUUUAAAGAAAGCGUAAUAGCUCACUGGUCGAGUCGGCCUGCGCGGAAGAUGUAACGGGGCUAAACCAUGCACCGAAGCUGCGGCAGCGAACGUAUCACCCAAGACAACUUUACGGAGUUGACGAUUGACGGAGCGAAGCGACGUCAAAGCGUUCAUUAAAGUCGAGUUGGCUUAGGGAUACGUUCGUUGGGUAGGGGAGCGUUCUGUAAGCCUGUGAAGGUGUGUCGUGAGGCAUGCUGGAGGUAUCAGAAGUGCGAAUGCUGACAUAAGUAACGAUAAAGCGGGUGAAAAGCCCGCUCGCCGGAAGACCAAGGGUUCCUGUCCAACGUUAAUCGGGGCAGGGUGAGUCGACCCCUAAGGCGAGGCCGAAAGGCGUAGUCGAUGGGAAACGGGUUAAUAUUCCCGUACUUGGUGUUACUGCGAAGGGGGGACGGAGAAGGCUAUGUUGGCCGGGCGACGGUUGUCCCGGUUUAAGCGUGUAGGUGUGUGUUCCAGGUAAAUCCGGUUCACUUUAACACUGAGGCGUGACGACGAGGCACUACGGUGCUGAAGCAACAAAUGCCCUGCUUCCAGGAAAAGCCUCUAAGCAUCAGGUAACAUCAAAUCGUACCCCAAACCGACACAGGUGGUCAGGUAGAGAAUACCAAGGCGCUUGAGAGAACUCGGGUGAAGGAACUAGGCAAAAUGGUGCCGUAACUUCGGGAGAAGGCACGCUGACACGUAGGUGAAGUGAUUUACUCAUGGAGCUGAAGUCAGUCGAAGAUACCAGCUGGCUGCAACUGUUUAUUAAAAACACAGCACUGUGCAAACACGAAAGUGGACGUAUACGGUGUGACGCCUGCCCGGUGCCGGAAGGUUAAUUGAUGGGGUCAGCGCAAGCGAAGCUCCUGAUCGAAGCCCCGGUAAACGGCGGCCGUAACUAUAACGGUCCUAAGGUAGCGAAAUUCCUUGUCGGGUAAGUUCCGACCUGCACGAAUGGCGUAAUGAUGGCCAGGCUGUCUCCACCCGAGACUCAGUGAAAUUGAACUCGCUGUGAAGAUGCAGUGUACCCGCGGCAAGACGGAAAGACCCCGUGAACCUUUACUAUAGCUUGACACUGAACAUUGAGCCUUGAUGUGUAGGAUAGGUGGGAGGCUUUGAAGUGUGGACGCCAGUCUGCAUGGAGCCGACCUUGAAAUACCACCCUUUAAUGUUUGAUGUUCUAACGUGGACCCGUAAUCCGGGUUGCGGACAGUGUCUGGUGGGUAGUUUGACUGGGGCGGUCUCCUCCUAAAGAGUAACGGAGGAGCACGAAGGUUGGCUAAUCCUGGUCGGACAUCAGGAGGUUAGUGCAAUGGCAUAAGCCAGCUUGACUGCGAGCGUGACGGCGCGAGCAGGUGCGAAAGCAGGUCAUAGUGAUCCGGUGGUUCUGAAUGGAAGGGCCAUCGCUCAACGGAUAAAAGGUACUCCGGGGAUAACAGGCUGAUACCGCCCAAGAGUUCAUAUCGACGGCGGUGUUUGGCACCUCGAUGUCGGCUCAUCACAUCCUGGGGCUGAAGUAGGUCCCAAGGGUAUGGCUGUUCGCCAUUUAAAGUGGUACGCGAGCUGGGUUUAGAACGUCGUGAGACAGUUCGGUCCCUAUCUGCCGUGGGCGCUGGAGAACUGAGGGGGGCUGCUCCUAGUACGAGAGGACCGGAGUGGACGCAUCACUGGUGUUCGGGUUGUCAUGCCAAUGGCACUGCCCGGUAGCUAAAUGCGGAAGAGAUAAGUGCUGAAAGCAUCUAAGCACGAAACUUGCCCCGAGAUGAGUUCUCCCUGAGACUUAG